UGAGCAACCUGCCCCUGGCUCUGGGAUAACUCCGGGAAACCGGAGCUAAUACCGGAUACGAGACCGAUUGGCAUCUUUACGGUCUGGAAAGUUUUUCGGCCAGGGAUGGGCUCGCGGCCUAUCAGCUUGUUGGUGGGGUAACGGCCCACCAAGGCGGCGACGGGUAGCCGGCCUGAGAGGGCGACCUGCCACACUGGGACUGAGACACGGCCCAGACUCCUACGGGAGGCA
rnacentral:rRNA from 1 species